rnacentral:rRNA from 1 species
AUGAAUGCUGGCGGCGUGCCUAAUACAUGCAAGUCGAGCGGUAACAGGGAGUUCCACCGUUCCUUGACACGCCUAGCGUAUUAUCGUAGGUGUUGACUUCGAGGGAACCGUGGAAUUCUGCUGACGAGCGGCGGACGGCUGAGUAACGCGUGGGGAACGGGACCCCCAAAACUGAGGGGAUAACGCAUCGAAAGGUGUGCUAAUACCGCAUGUGAUCUUCGGAUUAAAAGCUUUCGAGCGGUUUGGGACUGGCCUGCGUACGAUUAGAUAGUUGGUAGGGUAAUGGCCUACCAAGUCGACGAUCGUUAGAUGGUUUGAGAAGAUGAUCAUCCAGACUGGGACUGAGACACGGCCCAGACUCCUACGGGAGGCAGCAGUAGGGAAUCUUUCACAAUGGGCGAAAGCCUGAUGGAGCAACGCCGCGUGCAGGAUGACGGCCUUCGGGUUGUAAACUGUCUUUUAUAACCGAGAAAUAUGAUGGUAAGUUAUGAAUAAGGACCGGCUAACUACGUGCC